UUUUUUUUUUUUUUUUUUUUUUUGUCUUUUUGCCUUUUCUUGGGCCGCUCCCGCGGCAUAUGGAGGUUCCCAGGCUAGGGGUUGAAUCGGAGCUGUAGCCGCGGGCCUACGCCAGAGCCACAGCAACGCAGGAUCCGAGCCGCGUCUGCAACCUACACCACAGCUCACGACAACCGGCCCUAGAAAAGGCAAAAAGACAAAAAAAAAAAAAAGAUAUUUGUAAAGGCUGGCUACACUGACAGGAAUAUAGUCAUUUGACAAUAUAACUUCUGUUGGGUUCAUCAAUCUCAGUUAAACAAAUACAUCAGUUAAAUAAAUCAAUUUCAGCUAAAUAAAAUAAUGGUACAAACAUACAAUGGAAAGUAUUCCCAACUCAGCCGCUGUUAAAAAGAAUUAUUUAGCUCACUUCCAGGAUACAUUAUUAAGUGAAAAAAGACAGAAGCAACUAUGUAUAGUGUGCUACCUUUUACAUGAGGGGAAAAAAAGAAUAUAUAUGUAUAUGUUUAUAAAAGCAUAAAAUAUUUCUGAAAGAAUACAUAGGAAACUUUGACUGUGGUAGGUAGUGGGAAUAUGGCUGGGGAAGGAGGCGUGAAAGGACAGAAACCUAUCUGUGACUAUGUCUUUGAAUUUAUCAUGCAUGUAUUUUACCCAGUCAACAAAAAGGCAAAAUAAUAAGAAAGAAGUUCUCCCUGGGUCUCCUUUUUAGUAGUCAUGUGGUAGAGUGCUCUAGUGACACAAGGGUGAGUUUUGGGGUCAGCCAGGUUAAGAUCUGAAUCCACAAGCUAACCGAGAGACUUCCUGUGGGUCCCUUAACUUCCCUGAAGUUCUCUUCUCUGUGAAAUGGGGGAAAUGAUCACUGCUUUAAGGGUUGCCUCUGGAUUAAGGGAAACGAGGGAUGGAAAAACGCAGUAGGCGAUCAGAAAACCCUAGCCCUGAUUUCCUCCCUGCAUGGAGAAAGGGACUGGCUUUGGUUAUAUGAUGUCCUAUUUUUAAAGAGUUAAUUGAUUGCAGCCUGUUCUUUUCCAUCCCUGCCACAUCCAAAGGUUGUAAACAAACCUUUAAUGAGGAACGCCUCUCUAUGCCACAGGGAGCAGAUCUCAGUGCCUCAAAAUCAAGACCCCGGCUGAGGCAUUACCAUGAGGGGAAGGUGGAUGUGAAGAAAAAAGAAGGAAAGGAACUUUUACUACUUGUCUUGGUACAUGAAAUUUCACCAUUAAAUUUCUCUUUUAUAUCCCAGUGGCUAGUAAAUCCCUAGCAGCCUUGGUACCGAUGAUGUUUAAACCUCAUCUGCUAACACUUUUCAGGGAAUUCAUUUAAGCAAUUAAAAUCUUUCCCUUCCCCAAACACCACCACCCAUAAAACAGAGGACCAGUGGAAAGGAAAGCCAAGCAGCCUCUUGUCUAGUCUAAACUGCAGGUUGUUGUAAUUUAAAAGUAAUUCUCUCCUCAAGACCCUUUACUGCCAUCUGCUGGACAACUGUAGGUAUCAACAGUCCAGAUCGUCCCAUGAUGGCUAGACAAUGGCAUCCCCUGGAAUGGUGAGACACAAAGACCGCACGACUGUGAGCAACACCCCAAGGCAAGCUUCAUAGUUUCACAAGGCACUACUCCCGCAGCACAGGCCCCAUAGAUAAGAGGCUGUCACCUUCAGGUGUGUGUCCCCCAUGAAUUCUUCCCCGACAGGACUCUCCUUGCCCAUCCAUGGUACUGGACUGGAUGUUGCUCCCUUUCUCCAGAACCUCUAGACUGGGAGUAUCUGCAGGGCCCCUUCAGAGCAUUUUAAAGACCCCUUCAGGAGUCCACGACCUCCCCUGGUGAAAAAGUUUUUAAGGAGUGUGAAUUCAUCUUUCCAUCAUUGCUUGAGGCAGCACCAUAAAUCGUGACAGCCAAGAGAGGGCCAAUGGAAUGCAGCAUUGCAAGCAAGCUCUGUGGAUGGGAAACAGAUCUGACUAGGUGCCAUCAAAACGAGGAACUGGCCAUUAGUAACUCUGCUGAGGUAUCGGGUGCUGGGGAGCAGGGAGAGGAGAGGAGAGGAAAGAAGUCCUGUGGGGCUCACACAGCCGGCCAGCUCCUCAUCUCAAAGACAGAAAUGAGGUUUGGCUUCAUUUCAGCCCACUGAUUGCUUUAUUUCAAAUUACCCUAACUACUUAGCAUGGUAAAUUAAGUUGAAACCCCUAAAAGUUUGCAGAGGAUGUCAUCUAAUCUGAUUAAAAGGAAUAUUCCCAUCACAAGCGAGGGAGGAAAUGGAAAUUACUCUGAGUGCACUGCUAUUAAAUAAUUUGCAUAGACUUGCAUAUGCUAUACAGCAGAAAAGCAUAUGCUGUUUAGAUUUAAUGAAAUAAUUUUCCCUCUCUAAAGACUGUUAUAGUCUCUGUCCUUCCCUAUCUGUCUUUUCCUUUUCUCAUCUGUCUUUUUGCAUCUUAAAAUUAUUUCAUGGGAAGAGUACAUGGCUAUGCACAAAUUACAUGAAAUCUGCUAAUAAUCUUCCUGCUGGCAGGGCCGGGAGGUCCUGAAACUGCAUUGCCAAACUUCCCACGUGCCCUCCCCCUUGUCCCCCUCAUAUAAUUAAAGGCUCCCUUUACAACCCUUAAAAGGUUCAACUUGAUUCAUUUGGGGCUUCCUCUGAUGGGGGAGGGUGGUUAAGAUCAAUCCUUUGGCUCCACUUUCCAACUGAUGUUUUCCUAACCCUAAGGAAUAGCAUCUAAAUCAAAAUGAAAAUGAAAGGAAAGAUCUCCAAGCUCAUGUCAUCCCUAUCUGUUGAGUCUAUGAUGCUGCCAUUGUGGUUGCACGUGUGCAGUAAUCAUCCUUGAAAGAUUUUUGUGCCUGCUCUGCUUUUCAAGGUUCAAAACCCUUGAUGAAUGUUGGCUGCUGCUAAAGCCUUACCCCCAUUUUUAUCAAUGGAGACAAGGAAACCCAGAUAGAUGAACAUGAUGCCUUAGUGGCAGGCGGGAGGAGGGGGAUGAAAUCUAUCUAUUUUUGUAUUCUCUGUGGAUAUUCACUAGUUUGGGGUAAUAUUUUAGCAGAUCUCAUGUUCAGUUGUAAUGUAGCCAACAGAGGAAUUCUAGUGAAUUCCCCAACAAAAUUACAUUAGGAUCAAAUGUGAUCGUUAUAAACACUAUCCAGAUGUUGGGGAUGGACUGGAUAUAACUCUUUAAGCCCCAAAUUACAGUAUAAUAAAUGCAAGCAUGGGGAUCUGCCAAUACAUCUGAACUUCGUGUCGGAAACCAGGUCUGACCUUAAUUUAACUCUAUAAGGAACUAAGAGUUUCCCCACUUGUAUAGUUAGGAUGCAUCCAAAGAUCUCCAAGUGCUAUAUUGUCACGAGUUUUAUCACUUACUUGAAGAAUGACCGUAUCAGAUUCUGGAGUCGAGCCAAUCUUAAUGCGAGUGUUUUAUUAACACAUUUAGAAAGGAAACUGAAUUGCAAAUAGAAAUAACUAUUGAGGUUAUGAAACAAACCUGCGAAAUGAAAUACAAUAUAAUAUUAAGAUCACAUUUGUCCUUGGUAAAUCUUAGGGAGUUAAGAUGCUAUAAUAAGCACUAAAAUAUUUUACGACAUAAACCAGGCAUGCAAACUAGCAGCGCUCACAGAGAAAGAUAAAAUUUAGCAAGGAAAAACUUCAUCCUCUGCCCCUGAAAUAUUUUUCUAUAUUUAGGUCUGAUAUAAGUGGAUAAUGUUCGAGUUCCCUGGAGGUUCAGAGGUUUGAGGAUCCGCCAUUGUCACUGCUGUGGUGCAGGUUCAAUCCCCGGCCCAGGAACUUCUGCAUGCCAUGGGUGCGGCCAAAAAAAGAGAGAAGCAUAGCUUUGUAAUAUAGCUCAGGAUCAGUACUGAACGAAUCCUAACUAGAAUGCCGAUGGUUAUAAGGGAAGAUGGGGUAUUUCAAAUAUGUUAGUGUCAAAUAUUUUUAAAAAGCAAGCACUCUGAAAAGCUGGAAUCCAUAGGCUAACCAAGUUGUUAAGUAGUAAAAUACAGCAUGCCUACCAGCUGCAUGAUAUUGUGUUGGAUGUUGCUGGAAGAAACAGAGUAAAAGGAAGUGAGUUAAGGAGUGCCAAGUAUGCAUCAAGUUCUUUAAGAAAUGUAUGGUCUUUAUCUGGAUAUACCAAACCAUGGAAUAACUCCCUGGAAAAACUUAAAAUACUCAAAGACAUGAGAUAUGCAACCUCCCAAAUUCAGAAGUUAAAUCCCAAACAAAAUCAUACAUGUCACAAGUCAGCAGAAGUAGAGCAUUGAAGGGUUCUGUGUAUCUCCUACAACCAACUUUCUAAACGAUAACCAAAAAGCUAUUUGUAACAGUCAAAAAGUAUUGAAAAAUAUAUAAAAUCAGCUAAAAAAAAAAGUGAAGCCUACAGCAUGAUUAAAAGUAUUAACUAGGAGUAGUUUUUAAAAUCAUACAUUUGUUUGCAAAAAGAAAUAAAGAUCACUUUCACACUUACAUGGUCUGUGACCUCACUCUUUGCUCCUUCCCCAAUAUUUCCAUCACUCAGGAUAAGACUUUGAGGCAGACAAAGGAGUUUCAAGAAGGGAAAAUGGUCUGAUUUAGAGGACUGGGAUGAGGCAGCACCAUGGGCCUCACGAUAUUCCCAGCAGAACAACCUGAAUGUCCACUGACGGAUGAAUGGAUAAACAAUACGUGGUAUAUCUAUACCAUAGAAUAUUAUUCAGCUAUUAAAAUGAGUGAAAUUCUGACACAUGCCACAAAAUGAAAACAUUAUGCUACAUGAAAGAAGCCAGACACGGAAGGACAGACACUGUAUAAUUCCACUUGCAUGAGGUAUAGUUAGAAGAGGCAAAUUCAUAGAGACAGAAAGUCAAACAAUGGUUACUGGAGGCUGAGGGGAGGGGGGAAUGUGGAGUUGAACAGGGACAGGCAGAGUUCCUAUUUGAGACAGUGGAAAAGUUCUGAAAAUGGACAGUGGUGAUGGCUGGACCAUAUUGUGAAUGUACCUAACGCCACUGAAUUAUACACUCAAAGACGGUUUAAAUGGUAAAUUUCAUGCUAUGUAUAUUUAACCAUAAAGAAAGAUAUUCCUGGGGAAAAGCCAAAGGAAGCCAAGAUAUGCCCAGCUGUGAUAGCCGGGAGUAUAUAAGGGAAAGACGAGUGAGUGCGAGGAGAGCAGAUUUUCCUCCCAGGGUAAGUCAGGUAAUGGCAUAUAAAACGAUAGAGGAUAGGGAUUACUGUGUGAACUGAGAAGUGGCUGACCCACAGAAGACACUAUUUAAUUAAAAAAACAAACACUGCACAAAGCAUCUUCAGGGUGAGGGUACCAAUUUUUCACUCCUGAUAUCAGCCAUCAGUGCAAGGUAAGACCUACAAUAAACAUUUAUUAUGGGGCUUCUACUUUUUUUUUCUUUUUAUGGCUGCACCUGCAGCAUAUGAAGUUCCCAGUGCUAGGGGCUGAAUCGCAGCUGUAGCUGCAACCUACACCACAGCCACAGCAACACCAGAUCUGAGCCACAUCUAUGACCUACGUGCAGCUUGCAGCAAAACCGGAUCCUUAACCCACUGAGCAAGGCCACAGAGAUGACGUCAGGUCCUUAACCCACUCUGCCACAACAGAACCUCUAGGGGCUUCUACUUUUAAGCAUAUCUUACCAGAAACUAUGGAUAGAACUUGGGGAGUGAAGGGGGGAGAAAAGAAGAUGUGUAACAACCAAUCACCACCAUUUACAGUAGGCUCACUGUAUCCUAGGUAAGCACUGGAAGUUUUUUACAUGUACUUUUUUUUUUUUUUUUUUUUUUUUGUCUUUUUGCUAUUUCUUUGUGCCUCUCCCUCGGCAUAUGGAGGUUCCCA
rnacentral:lncRNA from 1 species